UGCCGCGUGAGUGAUGAAGGCCUUAGGGUUGUAAAGCUCUUUUACCAGGGAUGAUAAUGACCGUACCUGGAGAAUAAGCUCCGGCUAACUCCGUGCCAGCAGCCGCGGUAAUACGGAGGGAGCUAGCGUUGUUCGGAAUUACUGGGCGUAAAGCGCGCGUAGGCGGUUACUCAAGUCAGAGGUGAAAGCCCGGGGCUCAACCCCGGAACUGCCUUUGAAACUAGGUGACUAGAAUCUUGGAGAGGUCAGUGGAAUUCCGAGUGUAGAGGUGAAAUUCAAUAGAUAUUCGGAAGAACACCAGUGGCGAAGGCGACUGACUGGACAAGUAUUGACGCUGAGGUGCUAAAGCGUGGGGAGCAAACAGGAUUAAAUACCCUGGUAGUCCACGCCGUAAACGAUGAUGACUAGCUGUCCGGGUACUUGGUAUUUGGGUGGCGCAGCUAACGCAUUAAGUUAUCCGCCUGGGGAGUACGGUCGCAAGAUUAAAACUCAAAGGAAUUGACGGGGGCCUGCACAAGCGGUGGAGACAUGUGGUUUAAUUCGAAGCAACGCGCAGAACCUUACCAGCGUUUGACAUCCUCAUCGCGGAUUAGAGAGAUCUUUUCCUUC
rnacentral:rRNA from 1 species